CUUAGACUUAUAAAUGUUGGAAAUUUCAUAACAUUUAGAAUAGUGCCUGUAUGUAAUAAGCACUUAAUGUGUUCUUGUUUGGUAGAUUGAUUAUUUCUGUUAUCUUGGAGUAUCUUUUGGUGUGCCUCAUCCCCCUGACAUUUUGGGAACUGAUUAUGAGCUCAAGCUGGUUGUGAGGACUUGGUCAUGGAGUAUUUACUGCCUCAGAAGAGAAGAUUGCUGUUCUGAGAGGUUGUAACCAGACUAUAGUCAUCCAGCUAGCAAGUCUCUAAGGUAAAGUUUGAACUUGGGUUUCAGGUUUAGGAGUCGAGGGUUUUAUCAACUACCUCAUGCUGAAAGCUUUCUUUUUUUUAAACUGAAUCCUUUUACAAGUGAAUCAGUCAUUCUCUUUAGAACAUACUAAGCCCCCACAUGUAUGUAGCAGUAUGCUCACUAGCAUAGCACUAUUCAAAUCAAUCAAUUAGCAACUGUUUAUUGAAUGGGAGCUCUUUGGGGGCAGGAAUAGUUUCAUUUCUUUGUAUUCUUAGUAUCUAAUACAGUACCC
rnacentral:lncRNA from 1 species